CAGCAGUUCCUGCAAGACGAAGGCAUUGAUGCUAUGGAUUGGCCGCCCGUUCCCCAGACAUGAAUGCAAUUGAGCACAUCUGGGACAUCAUGUCUCGCUCCGUCCACCGUCACGUUGCACCACAGAAAGUCCAGGAGUUGGCAGAUGCUUUAGUCCAGAUCUGGGAGGAGAUCCCUCAGGAGACCAUCCACCACCUCAUCAGGAGCAUGCACAGACAUUGUAGGGAGGUCAUACAGGCAGGUGGAGGCCACACACACUACUGAGCCUCAUCUUGACUUGUUUUAAGGACAUUACAUCAAAGUUGGAUCAGCCUGUAGUGUGUUUUUCCACUUUAAUUUUGAGUGUGACUCCAAAUCAAGAC